rnacentral:rRNA from 1 species
UACGUAGGGUGCGAGCGUUAAUCGGAAUUACUGGGCGUAAAGCGUGCGCAGGCGGUUGUGCAAGACAGAUGUGAAAUCCCCGGGCUUAACCUGGGAACUGCAUUUGUGACUGCACAGCUGGAGUGCGGCAGAGGGGGAUGGAAUUCCGCGUGUAGCAGUGAAAUGCGUGGAUAUGCGGAGGAACACCGAUGGCGAAGGCAAUCCCCUGGGCCUGCACUGACGCUCAUGCACGAAAGCGUGGGGAGCAAACAGG